ACUUAAAUUGAAGAGUUUGAUCAUGGCUCAGAUUGAACGCUGGCGGCAGGCCUAACACAUGCAAGUCGAGCGGUAGCACAGAGAGCUUGCUCUCGGGUGACGAGCGGCGGACGGGUGAGUAAUGUCUGGGAAACUGCCUGAUGGAGGGGGAUAACUACUGGAAACGGUAGCUAAUACCGCAUAAUGUCGCAAGACCAAAGUGGGGGACCUUCGGGCCUCAUGCCAUCAGAUGUGCCCAGAUGGGAUUAGCUAGUAGGUGGGGUAACGGCUCACCUAGGCGACGAUCCCUAGCUGGUCUGAGAGGAUGACCAGCCACACUGGAACUGAGACACGGUCCAGACUCCUACGGGAGGCAGCAGUGGGGAAUAUUGCACAAUGGGCGCAAGCCUGAUGCAGCCAUGCCGCGUGUGUGAAGAAGGCCUUCGGGUUGUAAAGCACUUUCAGCGGGGAGGAAGGCGGUGAGGUUAAUAACCUCAUCGAUUGACGUUACCCGCAGAAGAAGCACCGGCUAACUCCGUGCCAGCAGCCGCGGUAAUACGGAGGGUGCAAGCGUUAAUCGGAAUUACUGGGCGUAAAGCGCACGCAGGCGGUCUGUCAAGUCGGAUGUGAAAUCCCCGGGCUCAACCUGGGAACUGCAUUCGAAACUGGCAGGCUAGAGUCUUGUAGAGGGGGUAGAAUUCCAGGUGUAGCGGUGAAAUGCGUAGAGAUCUGGAGGAAUACCGGUGGCGAAGGCGGCCCCCUGGACAAAGACUGACGCUCAGGUGCGAAAGCGUGGGGAGCAAACAGGAUUAGAUACCCUGGUAGUCCACGCCGUAAACGAUGUCGAUUUGGAGGUUGUGCCCUUGAGGCGUGGCUUCCGGAGCUAACGCGUUAAAUCGACCGCCUGGGGAGUACGGCCGCAAGGUUAAAACUCAAAUGAAUUGACGGGGGCCCGCACAAGCGGUGGAGCAUGUGGUUUAAUUCGAUGCAACGCGAAGAACCUUACCUGGUCUUGACAUCCACAGAACUUUCCAGAGAUGGAUUGGUGCCUUCGGGAACUGUGAGACAGGUGCUGCAUGGCUGUCGUCAGCUCGUGUUGUGAAAUGUUGGGUUAAGUCCCGCAACGAGCGCAACCCUUAUCCUUUGUUGCCAGCGGUCCGGCCGGGAACUCAAAGGAGACUGCCAGUGAUAAACUGGAGGAAGGUGGGGAUGACGUCAAGUCAUCAUGGCCCUUACGACCAGGGCUACACACGUGCUACAAUGGCAUAUACAAAGAGAAGCGACCUCGCGAGAGCAAGCGGACCUCAUAAAGUAUGUCGUAGUCCGGAUUGGAGUCUGCAACUCGACUCCAUGAAGUCGGAAUCGCUAGUAAUCGUAGAUCAGAAUGCUACGGUGAAUACGUUCCCGGGCCUUGUACACACCGCCCGUCACACCAUGGGAGUGGGUUGCAAAAGAAGUAGGUAGCUUAACCUUCGGGAGGGCGCUUACCACUUUGUGAUUCAUGACUGGGGUGAAGUCGUAACAAGGUAACCGUAGGGGAACCUGCGGUUGGAUCACCUCCUUACCUUAAAGAA
rnacentral:rRNA from 1 species